AAUGGAAGUCUGCAAGAAUUGUUAAAGAACAAUAUUUUUAAACUUUCAUUACAAUUCAAAUGCACACUCCCUGGAGAAGACUGAGGUGAAGAAGAAAUGCAAUACCGAGGAUUGAACUCGGGACCUUGCACUUGCGAGACAGGCGACAGAACCACUGAAGUAAAUCCCGGGCCCAGGAAAUAGUAAUUGUUGAAUGCGAGUGGGCAUUCUAAAAUGUAGAAUUUUUUUUUAAAAUGAG
rnacentral:lncRNA from 1 species